GGGGUUGUGGCUCAAGUGGUAGAGUGCUCACCUAGCACGUGUGAGGCACGGGGUUUGAUCCUCAGCACCA
rnacentral:tRNA from 1 species